UGAAGACGUCCCAGGCAGCCCCAUUACACAUAGCACAUCUGAAAUCUGUUCCCAAAGAAUGUGGGUUGUUUUACAAAGUGGCCUAUGUGGAUUUUGUCUGUAGAGAAGAUGGAGUUGGUGGAAUAUAACUUCUCAGGAAAUCUUGAUGGUAUUCGCACAAGAGUGUGAGCGACUGUACCUGUAUCUCUGCAGGCUCUCAUUUUGGCUAAAGGAAAAAGCAAUGUUGAGAAACAGAAGAGUGACAAAUCUUCCUCCCUCCCUCAAAUUCCGUCACCCCUUGGAUUACGCACAGUUGUGCUUUUCACACCUCUCAGAGUCACCUGCACAGCUUGUUUCAUAAAGCACACGCCGUUUGAUUAAAUGCCAUCGCUGGGAAGGGAGAGCAUAUUUGUUCAGCUGAUCUGGAUGAGCCAAACUAAAUCUCUAAUAGUCUGCAGUAACGAGGUCUUCCUCAGUUCCUCAUAGAGGGAACAGAACCGGCUCCAGAGAGUGAUUCAUCACAGCCCCAGACAGAUGUCAAAAACAAGGUUGUUUUGCAGGAACAUCAAAAUUCUGGUGAAACGUGUGGAGGGACAGCAAACAACAUAAUUUCCUUCUUUCCACUUGUGCCUAAUUCAUCACUGUGACCUGAUCACCUCAUUCAAUUUCGCCCCGACCGCUGUAUUUUGAUACCAAUGGCUAUUUACAUGGUGCACCAAAACACAUCACUUGGGCAUCACGAUGGGAAGCUGCUCAAUUACCAGCUGCCUGCAAUAAGCUGACAGUUCUGAGCUGAAAUGCUCAGGAAUGGCAAUAUCCGUGGAAAUUCUGACUCUCGGGCUCCUGAUUGCACUUCUGCAAUCACCAGCUUUGAUGUGUUGGAAUUUUCUGGAAGAAUUUCUCCUCUUUUUUUAUGGUGUCUCCAAUCAGUGCCCAGAUUAGAGGUCAGGACUUCUGCUCCCAACCCUGCUCUUGCUUUGCUGUGUGUACAGCAGUAGUCCUCAUCAUUCUUGAACCUGGGCAGCUCCCCCCAAAAUGCAUGCACUGUUUUGCAGGUGAGCUCUUGUCAGCAGCACUCCAGGAUUUUCCUCCUUGCUCAGCAAUCAUUUAGGGUAAGAAUUCCAGUUCUCAGCCUCUCAAAUGCAUGGACCUUAUGCUAUUAAAUUACCUUCCAUCCCUGCCACACUAUUUCUCUAGGACACCCAGUGCAUUUCUGAUUUCAACAAGUGACACAGUGACUUCUUUCUUGCUCUGCAUGGAUCUGAGUCAGCCUGGGAGGGAAGCGGGUCUGAAAUGCAGCUGGACGAGAUCUGUUGUACUCAGUAGUGUCACUGUGAUCUCUUUACAGCAUAAAUGAUGGCACACACAUGUUGGAAUUGGGGCACGUGAAUUUGUCCACGCUCCACAAGCGAUGCUGAAAUAAGCCAGUUGACAUCUGUAAAAGAUUGAGUUUAAAUCGAUUCACUUCUAUCACAAUGCUUUUCUCUUUUUUAAAUGUAGACGAGCAUUUGUGUGCCUAACUGUCCCUGAACUCACAUGGCCAGAGGGAUUGUGUUCAAAUUAUCCAUUAAAAACAAUCUCCUUGCAGAGACCAAGCAUGAAAAAUUCAGUCCAAAAGAUGAAAGGUUCGGAAAAUGUUAGGAGUUCAUGGCAAGAGAGGAUUUAUAAGGGUUUGCAGCCUACACUAUAGUUGCCAUAAGCAAUAUAUACCCUAGCACAUAUAGGGCCAAAGCUUCCACCGACUUUAAAGGAAAAUGGAUUAAAGCUUUGAGCGGAAAGCCUCGUGACUAAUCAUCCAUGUGAGUAACCCACACCAUCACAGGAUCCUUCAAGUUGCUGUGUGUGUUCAGAAGGAGCUGCUGCUGGAAACUCUUUGGAUUAAUUCCUCAGCUCAGGUGGCAGAAAUGGGAAGUUUGAAUGCGAAAGGCCUGAUAUCCAAUCCCUACUGGAAAUCCAGGUGGAGCAGAGGUGCCCAUCUCUGACUGUGGGAUGGGAAGCGUUAUGGAAGAUGCUGACUGUGAUUUUAAGCUGUAUCCGUAUUGUAUUCCUUCUGGACAGCAUGCACAGGGACAGAGACCUGCUUUCAGAAAGUCCUCCCACCACAAAAGAAAAAGAGGUUAUAACAAUUAAUAAAUGUUAUUUAUAAAGCACUUCCCACUCCAAGAGCCUUUUGGGAGCAGCAUGAACCAUUAAAAUGAAAUCCAAUUAUAAAACCCAAUCACAAUUAAAU
ensembl:lncRNA